AGUGAACGCUGGCGGUAGGCCUAACACAUGCAAGUCGAACGGCAGCACAGUAAGAGCUUGCUCUUACGGGUGGCGAGUGGCGGACGGGUGAGGAAUACAUCGGAAUCUACUUUUUCGUGGGGGAUAACGUAGGGAAACUUACGCUAAUACCGCAUACGACCUACGGGUGAAAGCAGGGGAUCUUCGGACCUUUCGCGAUUGAAUGAGCCGAUGUCGGAUUAGCUAGUUGGCGGGGUAAAGGCCCACCAAGGCGACGAUCCGUAGCUGGUCUGAGAGGAUGAUCAGCCACACUGGAACUGAGACACGGUCCAGACUCCUACGGGAGGCAGCAGUGGGGAAUAUUGGACAAUGGGCGAAAGCCUGAUCCAGCCAUACCGCGUGGGUGAAGAAGGACUUCGGGUUGUAAAGCCCUUUUGUUGGGAAAGAAAAGCAGCAGGUUAAUACCCCGCUGUUCUGACGGUACCCAAAGAAUAAGCACCGGCUAACUUCGUG
rnacentral:rRNA from 1 species